GAUGAACGCUGGCGGCGUGCCUAAUACAUGCAAGUCGAGCGAACGGACGAGAAGCUUGCUUCUCUGAUGUUAGCGGCGGACGGGUGAGUAACACGUGGAUAACCUACCUAUAAGACUGGGAUAACUUCGGGAAACCGGAGCUAAUACCGGAUAAUAUUUUGAACCGCAUGGUUCAAAAGUGAAUGACGGUCUUGCUGUCACUUAUAGAUGGAUCCGCGCUGCAUUAGCUAGUUGGUAAGGUAACGGCUUACCAAGGCAACGAUGCAUAGCCGACCUGAGAGGGUGGUCGGCCACACUGGAACGGAGACACGGUCCAGACUCCUACGGGAGGCAGCAGUAGGGAAUCUGCCGCAAUGGGCGAAAGCCUGACGGAGCAACGCCGCGUGAGUGAUGAAGGUCUUCGGAUCGUAAAACUCUGUUAUUAGGGAAGAACAUAUGUGUAAGUAACUGUGCACAUCGUGACGGUACCUAAUCAGAAAGCCACGGCUAACUACGUG
rnacentral:rRNA from 1 species